rnacentral:tRNA from 1 species
GGAGAGGUGACAGAGUGGCCGAUUGUGCGUCCCUGGAAAGGACGUGUGCUGGAAACGGCACCGAGGGUUCGAAUCCCUCCCUCUCCGCCA